rnacentral:rRNA from 1 species
GCCUACCAUGGUUUUAACGGGUAACGGGGUAUUAGGGUUCGAUUCCGGAGAGGGAGCCUGAGAAACGGCUACCACAUCCAAGGAAGGCAGCAGGCGCGCAAAUUACCCAAUCCCGACACGGGGAGGUAGUGACAAUAAAUAACAAUACGGGGCUCAUUUGGGUCUCGUAAUUGGAAUGAGUACAAUUUAAAUCCCUUAACGAGGAACAAUUGGAGGGCAAGUCUGGUGCCAGCAGCCGCGGUAGUUCCAGCUCCAAUAGCGUAUAUUAAAGUUGUUGCAGUUAAAAAGCUCGUAGUUGAACUUCGGGGUCUACCCAUUGGUCAGGCUUAAUUGUCUGCACUGGUGAGAUGGAUCUCUACCUUCUGAGGAACUUUCAUGCCAUUUAUUUGGUGUGAUGGGAAAUCAGGACUGUUACUUUGAAAAAAUUAGAGUGUUUAAAGCAGACUAUCGUCUGAAUACAUUAGCAUGGAAUAAUGAAAUAGGACGGACUGAUUCUAUUUCGUUGGUUUCUAGGAUCACCGUAAUGAUUAAUAGGGAUAGUUGGGGGCAUUAGUAUUCAAUUGUCAGAGGUGAAAUUCUUGGAUUUAUUGAAGACUAACUACUGCGAAAGCAUUUGCCAAGGAUGUUUUCAUUAAUCAAGAACGAAAGUUAGGGGAUCGAAGACGAUCAGAUACCGUCGUAGUCUUAACCAUAAACUAUGCCGACUAGGGAUCGGACGAAGUUAAUUUUAUAAUGACGCGUUCGGUACCUUACG